rnacentral:rRNA from 1 species
AGAAUCAACGCUGGCGGCGUGCCUAACACAUGCAAGUCGAACGGGAAAGUGGAGCAAUCCAUGAGUAUAGUGGCGACCGGGUGAGUAACACGUGACUAACCUACCCUUGAGUGGGGGAUAACCUCGGGAAACCGGGCUAAUACCGCAUAAAAUCUUCGGGAUGAGAAGCUGGAGAUCAAAGGAGCAAUUUCGCUUUUUGGAGGGGGUCGCGGCUGAUUAGCUAGUUGGCGGGUAACGCCCACAAGGCUUUGAUCGGUA